rnacentral:tRNA from 1 species
GCUGCUAUAGCUCAGUCGGUUAGAGCACUCGGCUGUUAACCGAGUUGUCGCAGGUUCGAGCCCUGCUAGCAGCG